rnacentral:tRNA from 1 species
GGGGCUAUAGCUCAGUUUGGGAGAGCGCGCCGUUCGCAAUGGCGAGGUCGUCGGUUCGAUCCCGACUAGCUCCACCA